rnacentral:lncRNA from 9 species
UCACACCUACUUGAGUGAUCCCUUUUCAUUCUUACUCUCUAUUGUCCUCUUGUUUUACUCCUCCCUCCUUUCUGCCACCCAUAAUUUACCAGGCCUUCAUUAAAACACACCCGGACUACUUCCUCAAUUAGCUCUCCUUGCCUCUUUCCAACCCUCCUGAGAGGCCUGCCCUUGGCGCCAGACUUCCCAUCUUCUCGAUGCCUCUCACUGUGUAAUGAUGUAAGGCCGAGGAACACACAAGGUUUCCAGCAGCCUUUCCAUCUUUGUAUUUCAAGUAGGCACUGCCUUCCUCAGCAAACCCAGUGGUUCCCCUCUGGCCAGCAUCCCAGUGGGUUUCAGGUCAGGUGGAACAUGCCCAACUUACUGGUCACCAUUAUAAUCUCACCAGGAUACCAUAUGGUAUUACCUAUCCAAAAAAAAAGAAAAGAAUUAAAGAAUAAAGGCAAUGCAAAACGUUGGAGAGCCAAUCUGAAAUCAAUUGACAGGCAUGAACAUUUGUUAAUAACAUGAGUAUAAGCAGAUGGAGAAGGAAUUGUACUGAACAUUCUCCAAAUAUAGAAACAAUCUACUGGAGAAAGUCAGACAAACAUGGUAAAGGCGUUAAUGUUACAGUGUAUGAAUUAAACUUCAAUUUUAAAAUAGAAUGAAUUUUUGAGAAAUUAAUGGCGAUGACACAUUCAUACCAUGGGAUACUACUCAGCAAGAGAAAAAAACGGAAGUAUUGAUACACAAGUUGGAUGAAUCAUUAAGACAUUGUGCUAAUUGAAAAAAGCUGAUGUCAAGAGGUUACAUGCUGCUUCACCCCAGAUAGCCCUAGAAAAAGCCACAGGUUCUACAGCAAAAUAAACUGAUGGUUCCAAUUAUCCUUCCACUGAGGAAGAAACAACCCUGAGGAGAAGGCUAUAUAAAGCACUUCCUGGUUUAAAGGGGUCAACGUCUUGGACUUGAAUCCCAACUCUGAAAUGUAUCAGCUGUGCAACCUUCAUCUUAGACUAUGCUCCAUCUCAUCAAAGAGACUUCUGGUGUGUUUAACAAAAAGGAAAAACAGUGAAAAGAGGAGGUAACCCCAUUCUAUUUCUCUCUCGGUGACAAAUUGCUGGGAUCUACAAUUAUUUGAAGAUUCUAAAGAUAGAGCACUGAUGACCCAAAAGCUCUUCUCAAAUUUCAUUUAUUCUAAUAGCUUCUGAAAAACCACUCCCAGGAGUAUUAACUCUUAUUGUAAAGGUAGGAAGUUUAUGCAAUUUAUAGUAGUGCAUUGUAUUUUGUCACAUUGACUUUAUCUCACAAGAGCCUGUUUGUGUCUACUCUGCUUUGGUCAUGAGAAAUGCAUUAUCCAAUUACUUAUGUAGUCUCUUUGCUACUAUGGAAAUAGGCAAUUCAAUUCAUUGGUUAAGUCGCUAAAACGGAUGUCAUUGGAUCUCUGUUAAGUCUGACUAAGAUGCAUAACUCUGAAUAAUGCUUUGAUGUGUACUUCCUUCUAUGACUUAGGAAUUUACCUGUUGUUGAAUUGGCACUGAUGAAUUUUAGUACAUGAUUAUGCAAUUCCCCUAAGGCUUGUAAAUAAAACUACUCAAUAUAUCCAU